rnacentral:rRNA from 1 species
UACGAAGGGGGCUAGCGUUGUUCGGAAUUAUUGGGUUUAAAGGGUGCGUAGGCGGCCAGAUAAGUCAGGGGUGAAAGUCGGCAGCUCAACUGUCGCAGUGCCUUUGAUACUGUUUGGCUUGAAUUCGGUUGAAGAUGGCGGAAUGAGACAAGUAGCGGUGAAAUGCAUAGAUAUGUCUCAGAACACCGAUUGCGAAGGCAGUUAUCUAAGCCGUUAUUGACGCUGAUGCACGAAAGCGUGGGUAGCAAACAGG